rnacentral:rRNA from 1 species
GACGAACGCUGGCGGCGUGCCUAAUACAUGCAAGUUGAGCGAUGAAGAUUGGUGCUUGCACCAAUUUGCAGAGCAGCGAACGGGUGAGUAACGCGUGGGGAAUCUGCCUUUGAGCGGGGGACAACAUUUGGAAACGAAUGCUAAUACCGCAUAACAACUUUAAACAUAAGUUUUAAGUUUGAAAGAUGCAAUUGCAUCACUCAAAGAUGAUCCCGCGUUGUAUUAGCUAGUUGGUGAGGUAAAGGCUCACCAAGGCGAUGAUACAUAGCCGACCUGAGAGGGUGAUCGGCCACAUUGGGACUGAGACACGGCCCAAACGCCUACGGGAGGCAGCAGUAGGGAAUCUUCGGCAAUGGACGAAAGUCUGACCGAGCAACGCCGCGUGAGUGAAGAAGGUUUUCGGAUCGUAAAACUCUGUUGGUAGAGAAGAACGUUGGUGAGAGUGGAAAGCUCAUCAAGUGACGGUAACUACCCAGAAAGGGACGGCUAACUACGUG